rnacentral:lncRNA from 1 species
GAACGCAACAUGAGAAAUACCUCGAUGAAAUCAGAUCCUGUCAUUAUUUAUAGCCCAUCUUUGUCAAGCCUGAUGGAACAAAAGCUCACGUUUUCAUGGUUGUCCUGGACAACAUUUCCAACACAGCCAUUUACACCCCUCAGAAGCACGCUUAGCCUUUGGCAAUGCCAGGAAAUCAAAGUUGCAGCCAUAAGGGAGCCUCAACUUACUCUUCAAAACCUCGAGGCUCUUGGUCAUCAGUCUUCACAUGGUCUCCCACACUGCCCUGUGCUGACGGAGCAGAGAUGCAAACGACCUGGGCCAUCCACUUUAACUCUCUUUCAAGGCCUUUCCAUCAGGACAGUACCUCAUGGGCCUUAUGGCCUUUGGAGUCUGGACAGCCUGAAUUCUCAUCAGUAAAUGCUUCAGGAGAUGGACCUAAACAGCUCUGAGCAGCCAGCGGAGGGAAGAAGAGAUUCCUAGAAGGCAAAAACCAAAACGGCCAGGUAACCCAUCUGAAUAGUAUCUGGGCCUUAGCACAGGCCACCAGCCAGUCAGAAGCAAGGAAGUGAAGAGGAAAGGAGGACCGACGGGUUGUUUUGGCUGCUGGUCACUCAGAGACUAAGAGAGAGGGCCUUCAAACUCCCUCAUUCCCUUGUUGGAUUUAUGAGGAAACUAAGAC